GGCAAGAUGGCCGAGCGGUCCAAGGCGUGUGACUCAAGCGAAAGCUUGCCCUUAACAGGGUCUUCUCAUCUGUGUAUGCAGGCGGGGGUUCGAAUCCCCCUCUUGUCA